AGCAGCCGCGGUAAUUCCAGCUCCAAUAGCGUAUAUUAAAGUUGUUGCAGUUAAAAAGCUCGUAGUUGAAUUUCGGGAUCAAUGCGUCGGUCGUGCCUUCGGUACGUACUAGCGUCAUUGAUUCCUCCCUUCUGAAGAACCGUGAUGUCAUUAAUUUGGUGUUACGGGAAAUCAGGACUGUUACCUUGAAAAAUUAGAGUGUUUAAAGCAGGCUAACGCUUGAAUACAUUAGCAUGGAAUAAUGAAAUAGGACGUUCGAACCUAUUUUGUUGGUUUCUAGGAUCGACGUAAUGAUUAAUAGGGAUAGUUGGGGGCAUUAGUAUUCAAUUGUCAGAGGUGAAAUUCUUGGAUUUAUUGAAGACUAACUACUGCGAAAGCAUUUGCCAAGGAUGUUUUCAUUAAUCAAGAACGAAAGUUAGGGGAUCGAAGACGAUCAGAUACCGUCGUAGUCUUAACCAUAAACUAUGCCGACUAGGGAUCGGGAUGAUGUUAAUUUU
rnacentral:misc_RNA from 1 species